AAUGCUUACGUAUCUCAGUAGCGCGGGGAAUUUCGAGUGGCGGUGGAGCGCGGGAGGCCAGUGGAUGGCGGACUCUCCAGCUUCUUCAGGAGAGACCAUGGACUCCCUGGCGGAGCCUCGGUGGCCUCCAGGCCUGGCAGUCAUGAAGACAAUAGAUGAUUUGCUGCGGUGUGGAAUUUGCUUUGAAUAUUUCAACAUUGCAAUGAUGAUUCCUCAGUGUUCACAUAACUACUGUUCUCUCUGUAUAAGAAAAUUUCUGUCCUAUAAGACACAAUGUCCAACUUGUUGUGUGACAGUCACAGAGCCGGACCUGAAAAAUAACCGCAUAUUAGAUGAACUGGUAAAAAGCUUGAAUUUUGCACGGAAUCAUCUCUUGCAGUUUGCCUUGGAGUCACCACCCAUAUCUCCUGCUUCCUCCUCUUCAAAAAACCUUGCUGCCAAAGUGCACACUCCUGUAGCUUUCAGGCAUUCUUUAAAGCAAGGAAGCAGGUUAAUGGAGAAUUUCUUGACCAGAGAAACUGGUGGUUCUACGUCGGAGUUGUUGAUAAAAGAGAAUGAAAGCAAAUUCAGCCCUCAAAAAGAAGUGAGCACUUCUGCCAAGACCAAAGAGACACCUUCUGUAGAAAAGACAACUCUAGGCUCCUUGGAUGCUAAUGUUCCUGAGACACCCUCUACGUCGACUUUGAAACAAGUUACUAAAGUGGAUUGUCCUGUUUGUGGCGUUAGCAUUCCAGAAAAUCACAUUAAUAAGCACCUAGACAGCUGUUUAUCACGUGAAGAAAAGAAAGAAAGCCUCAGAAGUUCUCUUCACAAAAGGAAGCCAUUGCCCAAAACUGUAUAUAACUUGCUUUCAGAUCGUGAUUUAAAGAAAAAGCUAAAACAGCAUGGAUUGUCUAUUCAAGGAAAUAAGCAACAACUCAUUAAAAGGCACCAAGAAUUUGUACACAUGUACAACGCCCAAUGUGAUGCUUUGCAUCCUAAAUCAGCUGCUGAAAUAGUUCAAGAAAUUGAAAAUAUGGAGAAGACUAGGAUGCGUCUUGAAGCUAGUAAACUCAACGAAAGCGUAAUGGUUUUUACAAAGGGCCAAACAGAAAAGGAAAUUGAUGAAAUUCACAGUAAAUAUCGUAAAAAACAUCAGAAUGAAUUUCAGCUUCUGGUGGAUCAGGCCAAAAAAGGAUACAAGCAAGCUGUUGGAAUGUCAAAAAAAGAAGUAACAAAAAAAGAAGAUGAAUCUCCAAAAAAGCUAUUAUCUGUAUGCAUGGGAGAGGAAGAUAAUAAAACGAAAUUCUCGGACUUACCCUUGGUAACAAACCACUUCCCCCAGUCAAAGCUGGACUCCCCAGGGAAACUGGAGCCUGAUAGAUCAGAUGACUCUUCUAGUUGUACUGAUAUUCAAAUCGAAGCUUUUUCUUCACCAGAAUCAGAUUCAUGGAAUAGUGACCUCAGACAAAUUGUGAGAAAAACAUCAGACAAACUCCAGUUGAGGGUCAUUCAACAAAAUACCUGACCAGCACUCCUCAAAACUGUCAAGGUCAUCAAAAACAAAGAAAGUCUGAGAAAAUGUCACAGCCAAGAGGAAGCUAAGCAGAUGUGAGGACUAAAUGUAAUGUGGAAUCCUGGAUGGGAUCCUGGAACAGAAAAGAGACAUUAGGUGAAGACUGAAGAAAUUGAAGUGUGGAUGUUAGUUAAUAAUAAUGUAUUAAUAUUGCCUCAUUGGCUGUAACUAAUGUAUCAGACUACUGUAGGAUGUUAAGGACAGAAGAAGCUGGGUGUGGGGCAUGUGGAAACUUUCCGUACUAUCUUUGCAACUUUUCUGUAAAUAUAAAACUAUUCUAAAAUAAAAAGUUUAUUUUUUAAAAGUACAUUACAACAUCAAAAUAAAGAGGAAUAUUGGUGUGAAAAUAUUCAAAGAAUGUAUUGAAUAUUGGAAAACCAAAGUCAUCAAAACAUUAUUUUCUUCAGUGGUAAAUUGGACAGUGUUUCUGGGUUGUAAGAAGUUUAUUGAACAGUUCUUCUUUCUCUUUCACUUAACAUGUUACAUGUAGUUAUCUAAAUUAAUUAAUAAAACUGUUUUAACACAUUCUAUAAAAUGCUUUAUUAUUUAGUAGUAUGUUAAAAUUUAAUCCAUAAAUGUAGCACAAGGGAAGAAUUCUGUUUUCGUCUCUGUUGUGUGAUGUUUUUAAUCAGUUUUGCGUUCUUGUGCUAAUAUUUUUACUUGAUAGAAUGAUUUCACCUCGGAGGAUGUAGGCCAGCCUUUACAUUUCAUCACAAGGGAGAACAUGCACAGUGUACAAUAUGCUGCAUCCUCUUCAGUUACCAUGUUUUUGUUAGUGUAAAAGUGAUUUUGAUAGUAAUCCUCCAAAAACAAUGUGAAAAUAUAGAUAGUUUUGUCUUUUCUCCAAUACUCAAUGCUAAAGGAUACUCGCUGUUAAAUGAUAAGUUUUAUUGUUUUUUCUUUUACUCUCAGGCAGUUCAUGUUAGCACCUUUUGGGGUUUUUUAUUAUGCAUUUUCAUUGGGUCAUCUGAUGAGCCUCUUUAUAAUAGCUUUUGUUGUUUUAUAAUAAAUUCUUGAUUUUUCAGCAUUCUGAGUCAGUCCUAAGUGGCAAAUAUUUUUGUUUUUACCAAAUUCGUGAACUGCCAUGAUAUAAAGGUCCUCUGUAAAAUAAAUUUGCACCCUUCAGUUUCCUGUGUCAGGAGAGAGUUUUAAAAUCUGUAGUAGAUUAUUCCUUGUGUAUCUAAAAUGCUUACAGAAAUUGGCAGUUCCUUCCAGGUUCCAUACUUGUCAAAUGAUACCUUCCUUGUCAUAGCUUGUAGCAGUGUCUGAUCAUCACCCAGGGUUUUGGCACAAUGACUGUAGUGUUGAGAGUUUGGGUUGGCAUGAUGAUAAUACUUACAUAAGGUUGAAUUUUUUAAAGUAUGUUUUCCCUUUUUAGUUUUUCAGAUGUUUUUGUAAACUUUAUAGACAUUCUAGUCCCAUAUGCUUCUGCAUAUAUUUGGCUAGAUUCAUAAAACCGAGAUAUCUUGACUGGCUCAGAAUUCAGUUCUUCAUUUGUAAUAAAAAGGGGUAGCCAAGAGUGUAUUUUUCGAUAUACUUUGAGAAGAGUAAGUAUGAGACCUUGAAGGAACUAUAGUUCCUUCUAAGUGUUAGACAUCUAAUCAGUAACUAUUUUGGAUCAACACUCGCAGACUGCAAAUGUGGGCAGCUAGUUAAGAGCUCUCUCUAGUUCAAAAAAAAAGGAAAAAUCUGAAUCGUUUUGGCCUUGUUCUGGUGAAUGAAAUUAGAUGGAAUAGGAAUGAUAUGUAAUUUACAUAUCAUGCUAUUGGGAUUUGGUAUUUUUAGUCAGUUGAUCAAGUUUAUAAUCUGUUGCAGUCACCUUGAAGUUAAAAUCAGAUCUUUUAUCCUGCCUUCUCCUUUCAUACCACCUUUGCUUCUGCAUCAGAGGAGCAGAUGUUAUAGUCUCCUUGGAGGUCUUCAGAACCUGGGAAAGAGCAUGUUAGGAUAGAAUACAAACAUUUUCAAGUUAGAAGGUUCCUCAAGAAGUCACUAAAUCUAGUAACUUCAUAUCUCAGGUAAGGAAAUGGAGGCCCAGAGAGGUGAUGUGGCCUGUCUAAAGUCAUCCAACCAAUAGAGUUGAAGCCAAGAAUUCUUGGCCGAGGUUUUUUCCCAUUACAACAUGAAUUGCAUCAGAAUUUUUGUCUUAGGCACCAUUGCUUCUUUUGUUAGGAGCAUUUUAAUGGAGUUCAAGCAUCAGUUCAAAAUAUCAAAACUGAUCUCAAAUAGAUAUGAAUGACCGUAUGUUCUGGUUCCCCUGAGGUAGGCUGGUUUCCAUUUCUUGUAUUGGCAUCAUUAUUAAUAACACCCUAUAUUACUCCCUAAAUUGUCUGGGUUUUGAUGAUAGAUUAUAUUUGCCUUGUUAGAAGGACAUGCAGUGUUAGUUUGCACAUCUUCUCUGUUCUCUUUACUCCCACACAAAUAGUCACGUUCUGGAACAUGAGUACUUAUUAAAUCGCUGAUUUUGCUUACUUCUAUUGAUUUUACCACGUAGGCAGUGCACAUUGUUCUUGUAUUUCAGAGAGAUUCAAGCGUUAAAGCAUGCUAGGCCUCAAAUGCAGAGGCUUGCUUGUUAUUUAGUUAUUUAUUUUAGGUAAUUCUGCAGAAGUCAACUGUGGAAGCCUUUAAGAUGUCGUUAAUGUGUGCUUCAGUAUGCUUCUCUUGUCCUUGUAAGCACAUUUUAUUUUAGCCAUUUAUAACCUGUUGUUGGAGUAUGGGGAAUAGUACAAAUAAAAGAUUAAAAAUAUGUAUCAGAACAUUAAAAUUUGGGGUAAAUAUAGUUCUGGAGGGAUAAUUCUUUCUCAUGCACUAGAUCAUUUAGUCUAACACGUCAUUUUAUGUGGGAACUGAGUCACAGGGAGGUUCAGUGUCCACUGCCUAAAAUGCAGCAAUACAUGGUAGUUUUAAAAUUCUUCUCUUCCUGAAACAGAUCGUAAGACUGGAGUUUUAUGGCCUAAACUUUGACUUCCUGUCUGGUUUCUGUAGUGUGGGUGGUUGGUAUUGUCCAGGCGUCCCACAUUUGCCCAGCUGAAUGUCCUUCUCAGGAUAGAUUAUAUGGAAGUUGGCCUGGCUGUGCAGAAGACACAAAGUCUCAUCCUGAGCCUCGUACCCAGCCGCUCGGUCCCUGUUAUCACAGAAACUUGUCAUCAAUGAAAGCUUCUUAUGUGAUAGAGGAGAUUUUCAUUUUGAGGUGCUGCUUGGCUUUUAACUCAUUUCUCCUUAUGGGCUGAGUAUUGUAACCUGUUGCUGUGAUUUCAUUACCUUUUUGUAUUUGGUUUCUGUUUGUAUCGGUCAUUUAUACUGCUGACAGUCUAAAGAAUAAAAACAAAAUGAAGCAUCCUAAUUUUGUCCCUCUGCCCAUUUAGUUUGAGUUUGAUUCAGUUAUCUAAUUGUAGUGGUGAAAAUUUUGCUAAUUAAAAAAAUUUGCUCUUACAUUACACUCUCAGAGUUGAUGUCUUCUUUUGUUUCUUAAGUUUGUAAGUUAAACAUAAGCACAAACUUUUAAUUAUAUUUUGAAAUUGAAUUUUUCCAGAGAGCCAAGAGAACUCCAAUGUUUGGAAUUAACCUAAUGUUCUUUUAUUUCUCUUCCUUAAAAAAAGAACACACACUACUUUUCUUCACUUUUUGUAAGAAUUUAAAAUUAGUGACCUAAAAGGUAUGCUUCUCUGUUUAAUACAGUUUCCUGACUCUUUUCCUCGGCACAUAGAAAAUGAUAAUAUUUGUUUGUCGUAACAAGAAGAUGCCGGAGGCCAGAGAUGCCCGCCAUGCUUAGCUUUGGCUAUUCUGGGUCCUUUGCCUCUCCUUAGAAACUCUAAAGUCAGCUCGUCAGUUGCUAACAAAAAAGUCUGCUGUAAUUUUGGUUGAUUACAUUGAAUCUACAGAUCAAUCUGGGACCGAUAUUGAUCAAUAUUGGUCCGAUCUGAUAUGGUCUGGUUUACGUGUUUUAAAAGGACAUCUCCAGAUGCUGCAAAGAGUGGACGGGGGCCUAGAGGCGAGGCGAGAGUGGAAGCAGGGAGACCGGUUACUUUGUAGCAGUCACUUGGGGGUUUAUGGCAGAGUGGGUCAGAAUAGUAAUAGUGAAGAUGGAAGUGGGUGGGAUUGGGGAUAUAGUUUGGAGGUAGGAUUGGCAGAACUUUCUGAUGGUUUGCAUAUAGUGAGCAAGGAAAAGCUCAGCAUCAAGGAUGAGUCCUAAAUUUUUGGCUUUGCCAACGGGGUGAAUGGUGGUACUGUUUACUAAGUAAGAUGGGAAAAUUUGGGAAGGGCAGUAGAAAGUUUGGCCAGGGGCUGGGAGGUGGGUCAUAUUGGUAAUCAAGGGGUUUUUCUUUUGGAGCCUGUAAGAUAACCAAGUAAAGAUAUCAAACGAGGUGGAGGUGGAGGAGAGAGACGCAUUAAAGGCAUGGUGUUGGCUGAGACAUGUAGCACAGGAGUAUAGAAAGAGACAAUCAGGACCGAACCCUCUUUUACUCCAACAUGUAGAAAGAAGAGACUGAGCAAAGGAGAUUGAGGAGGAAUAAGCCAGUGGGGGAUGAGGAAGACCAGGACAUUGUGACAUCAUGAAAGCUAACUGAAGAGAAGAGACUGAGAGGACAAAUGAGAUAAGACUAGAGAAGGGACUGUGGACUUUUUGGCAACAUAAAGAUCUUAGCAGGUGUGGUCUCAAGUGAGUGGGUUUCAGGUGGAAGACUGACUAAUAAAUGAUCUUCAGGACACAGAAAUCAGUCCAAGAUGGAAUCGUCGCACAAGAUCAGCUGAAAGUGCUGAGAUGGAGCCAAGAAAUAAGCGAAAUAGGAAUUAGCGUGGGCUUCUGCCAACUUUCCCAACAUAGUGAUCAGAAUGUCGUACUUUGUGUUGCCAAAUAGAUUUCAUAUCCAUCUCAUAUUCAUACUCACAAAUGCCCAAGUGAAGAUGCUGAAUUCUAAAUAUUGUGGUUAACUGAUUUUCAUUCUUUUCUGCCUUUCCGGGGGAAAAAAAAUUUACAAAACAUCCUCACCUCCUGCCUCUGAAACAUCUCUCUCUCAAAUUAUGGACAUCUGCACGUUCACCAGCUUUGCAGAGUUCAUAGACUUUUUGGCAAAGUGUUUUUGUUUCUAAAUUUCAGAAUUUAAACCAUCUUCCUUCUCUUCCAUGGAGAAACCACCUUCAGAAAAGGAUUCUUCAACAUUUCCACCACAAGGAGCAGUUGAGGAGUUAAGAGCCUCCAUGUUUUUGGAAUGGCAGGAUGUCCUACUCACAUCCUUGGCGUGUGUAAGCACCUGAUCCUGGAUGCCAGCAUAGCUGCCUGUGACCGCAGUCACCUGGUGGUUAUUGCCCAAGUUUAAUGUGGUCGCUCGUUAGACCUGUGUCUCGCGCAUUCUUGGAGUAGGAUGUUACUAUUGUAAUUUAAAGCCACAAACAACAACUUUGAAACAUUGGGCAUAUUCUUCGGGAAUGGCACUUAACAAUGAUUAGUUAGUCUUUCUUUUCACUUGGGUAAAUCAAAUUUUUAAUACUUUGAAUCCCAGCUAUUAAAAAAGAAUGCAGUAAAUGGAUUUUAUAAAUGAAUAAACUCUCUAUCAACUUAAAAUAAUGUGCUUAGACAGUACCCUGUGAAUAGUUGAGUACAAAUCAUUGCGAGGGGUUGGUCGGAAAUUAUCCCUGUGCCAAAUGUCCACCAGUUCCCGCUUCCCCCAGAGUUCCUCGUGCCUCUCUCUGGCAUGUCCGAGUCGCCCCUACUCCCAGCCCCUGCCACCGCCCAACCCAAACACAUCAACUUUCAAAUAACGUGACAGCAAAGUGACAAUGUUACGACAACAAAUUUAUGAAUGUACCAGGGACUUUUGUGACUUCCCCCUUCCAAAGAAUAUCUCCAUUGACUUUGGCUUUUUGAUAUGUUUUUGGGUUUCUGGAUAACGUGUAGAGUUUUGUUAUGACUUAGAGUUAAGUGUUUCACACUUAAUGGCCAUUUAUUUUCUUUAUGAGUCCCUUGAGCUUCAAAUGUUAUAUAAGAAUUUGUCAUAGUCAUUUCAUCUGCUUAAAAUCAUGAGGGAUGCAUUAAGGAAACUAAAAGCAGCGCCACUCACUGAAUCUAUCAAAGGAUGUGAUAUGAGGUCAGUGAGCAAUAUCAAACAAAAUAGGGUUUAACAUUGAUGUGAUAUUUAUGUCACAGAGUUGCCAGAAAUUAUGCUAAAAUGAAAACUGCUUGUUUUCAUUAAAAAUUACACAUCUGCUAUAAAUUAAACGAAGUAAUUACUACUUUAA